CUGAUUGACUACAGACAGGGAAUGACGGAACUUGGAACAGCGAUACAAUACCAUUUAAAGACAUGAAUGAUUCAACAACGCCAGAAAAUGGGAUACCAGUCAAAAAAACAAGAAUAUCUCAAAAGCAUCUGGACAAUAGCAUAAUGGAGGACGACCAAAAUGGGCAGGCCGAUCUGUCCUCCAGAUCUGAAGGCCCUCAGGGACUCUCGAGAUGCAGCACCAGAACCACCAGUACUGACGAGGCCGUCCUGAAGAAGAUGGAGGAGUGGAAGCGGAUGUGUCGUCUGAGAGGGAGGGGCGUGAGAGAAGGGAGGAUCUGCUCCAUAGCGCAGAGGAUAAAGACUUGUGAGACACCUUCCAGAAAAGUAGCCAGCAGUCAAGACAAUGAGUAUCUGGAGGAUGAUGAGGAUGGUGAUGAUGAUGACAGAGAAAAGGAUGAGGAAGCUGAGAUGGAUGAAGAGGCUGAUUGUGAUGGGGAGGAUGGAGAGUUCUCUGAAGUCAGGCAGAAAAAUGCGAAGUUUCAAAAGUCUAGGAAUAAUCCACCAAAGUUUUUCCAACACCACGCCUCGUCCACCAGAGGGAGCUAUUGCAUCAGUGCCUCUGUGCCGAGGAGUGCCUACACCACCAGUGGAAGAAGGGCCAGGUCUGGGAACACACACACACACAUGAAGCAUGCGUGGCACACUCGCCGUGACUCAGUCUCCUCUGAGGAAGAGGAGGACUCUGAUGAGGAAGAUGGUGGGAAGACCAGUUGUUUGCCUGUCAAUCUGCGUAAGGAAGACAUCUUGGGGAUCCACAGGGACAGGAUGAAGAUCCAAUCGAGUUUGGCAGACAUCGACCCCAUGGUGAUCGACCAGUCAGUGCGUUUCGACAGCGUGGGAGGCCUGACGAGCCACAUCUCAGCCCUGAAGGAGAUGGUGGUGUUCCCCCUGCUCUACCCUGAGGUGUUUGACAAGUUCAAGAUCCAGCCUCCCAGGGGCUGCCUGUUCUACGGCCCCCCGGGGACAGGGAAGACCCUGGUGGCGCGGGCGCUGGCUAACGAGUGCAGCCAGGGGGACAGGAAGGUGGCCUUCUUCAUGAGGAAGGGGGCUGACUGCCUCAGCAAGUGGGUGGGCGAGUCGGAGCGACAGCUGCGCCUGCUCUUCGACCAGGCCUACCAGAUGCGUCCGUCCAUCAUAUUCUUUGAUGAGAUUGACGGUCUAGCUCCGGUCCGCUCCAGCCGUCAGGACCAGAUACACAGCUCCAUCGUGUCCACGCUGCUGGCUCUGAUGGACGGGCUGGACAGCCGGGGGGAGGUGGUGGUGAUCGGAGCCACUAACCGCCUGGACGCCAUCGACCCCGCCCUCAGGAGGCCCGGACGCUUCGACAGGGAGUUCCUGUUUGGCCUCCCCGACCGCGAGUCUCGUCGAGACAUCCUGAAGAUCCACACCCAUCAGUGGUGCCCCGCCCCCUCCGACACCUUCCUGGAUGAGCUGGCUGACAAGUGUGUCGGCUACUGCGGCGCAGACAUCAAGGCGGUGUGCGCGGAGGCGGCCCUCUGCGCGCUGCGGCGCCGCUACCCCCAGAUCUACUCCUCCUCCCAGAAGCUGCUGCUCGACGUCUCCUCCAUCAACGUCACCGCCACCGACUUCCUGGCCGCCAUGGCCAAGACGGUGGCCGCCUCCCAGAGGGCCGUGUCGUCCCCCGCCAAGGCCCUGGCCCCGGCCCUGGCCCCCCUGCUGGGCUCGGAGCUCGCCGCCCUCCUGGACGGCCUGCAGAAGCUGUUCCCCCACGCCGAGCAGGGCCUCAGGAAGAGGAGGGAGGCCUCGGACCUUCUGGAGGACGACCUGCUGUACAGCGGGGACGAGGGGACCUCCUCCAACACCUCCAUCUCCAAGCAGACCCCCCCCUCCACGGGCAGCUUCCUCCACCUGGCGCGGAGUGCAGUGCACCAGCCCACCUCCCACCGGCCCCGGCUCCUGCUGACGGGGCGUCCCGGGGCGGGGCAGAGCGCCCACCUGGCCCCCGCCAUGCUCCACGCCCUGGAGAGGUUCAGCGUGUACACCCUGGACGUGGCCGUGCUGUUUGGGGUCAGCUCCACCUCACCCGAGGAGGCCUGCGCUCAGGUGUUCUGUGAGGCCAGGCGUACGUCCCCCAGCAUCCUGUACGUCCCCAGGAUCCAGCGCUGGUGGGACACGGUGGGGCCGGCCCUGAAGGCCACCUUCACCAGCCUGCUGCAGGACCUGCCCUCCUUCUCCCCCGUGCUGCUGCUGGCCACCAGCGACCAGGCCCACCACGACCUGGACCACGAGGUUCAGGCUCUGUUCCGUGUGGAGCACGGAGAGGUUCACUCCAUCCGGACGCCCACCCAGCAGGAGAGGAGGAGGUUCUUCGAGGACCUGAUCCUCUUCCAGGCUGCCAAAGCCCCCGCUUCCAAGAAGAAGGCCUUGAUGCAUGCCAUGGAGGUGCUCCCCCUGGCCCCCCCUCCGCCCCCCAGGCAGAUGUCGGAUCGCGAGCGCCUGCGCAUGGAGGAGAAGGAAGAGGACACCCUGCGGGAGCUACGCCUCUUCCUGCGGAACGUCACCGAGCGCCUGGCGCAGGACAAACGCUUCAGGGCCUUCAGCAGGCCUGUGGACGUGGAGGAGGUCCCUGACUACACGACCGUGAUCAAGAGCCCCAUGGACCUGUCCACCGUCCUGGCCCACGUGGACUCCCACAAGUACGUCACCGUCCGGGAGUUUGCCAACGACGUGGACCUGAUCUGGAAGAACGCGCUGGAGUACAACCCAGACAGCGACCCCUCUGACCGUCAGAUUCGCCACCGGGCGUGUGCGCUGAAAGACACGCUCCACGCCAUCAUACGUGACGAGCUGGACGAGGACUUUGACAUGAUCUGCGAGCAGAUUAGAAACUCACGGAACAAGAGAGGCUGCAAGACGUCCAUGUUCGCCCCAUCCUACUACCAGACGCUGCCCCGAGAGGAGGGCUGCUCUGACGACAGGAGGCCAAACGGCAAGGACGCCAGCACACCCUUCGCCGCCGACGCUCCACGGCCCACAAGGCAGAAGACAAGAAAAACGAAAGCACGACGCAAAAGCAAGUGGAGUUUAGGCAUCGUAAAGAAAAACAAGAUGAAGAAACGUCCACCCACCCCUUCCUCUUCCUCCUCCUCUUCUUCUACCCUCCCCUCCUCCUCCAGCAAGAACAGAGUGACGGACCCAUCGAUGGAUGAAAGCAACAUGAACGACAGGAUAUGGCAGGGGGGAGCAGAGAAGAAACCAGUAUUUUAAAGAGGAGACACCCUCUGUUCCGGAGGAGUGUACGAAAGAGGGGGCUCACUUUGAAAGAGACCCACGCCCCUCUUCCGGGAAAAGGAAACAGCCAUCCCUGGACCCGCUUGUGAAUUGGGUGGAGCCACCCAGGCACAAAGGCAGCAUCCCUGGGCUCCCACCCACUCAAACCCCCCUGGUCAACCGGCACCACCCCCAGCCUCCUAGUCCCCCAGCAGCUUUGGAGGGUGUACCCAGCCCACGCACCCAUACCUGGGAUCUAGAUCCAGGGGAGGGACCCCUCUCCAUCCCUGGAGAGCCUGAGAGGGCUGUGGAGAACUGGGAGAUGAAGCUAGGUCUGUCUGGGUUGUGUAGGGACCACGUCGCUCCUGCUAGCGCUUCUGCUAACAUGGCCAGCCUCCAUCCCAGCUCUCUGCAGCAGCAGGAGAGAGACGUGGGGGCCGAGUGACGCGGGCCACCUGGACCGCGGCCCAGCAGCAGCAGGUGAUAGACGUGGACAAGGCCCUGGAGAUCCUCUCCCAGAAGUCCCCUCAACUGGUGGUGGACCAUGACAAGCUCAAG